rnacentral:rRNA from 1 species
UACGUAGGGGGCAAGCGUUGUCCGGAUUUAUUGGGCGUAAAGAGCUCGUAGGCGGCUCAGUAAGUCGGGUGUGAAAGCCCCGAGCUCAACUCGGGGAGGCCACCCGAUACUGCUGUGGCUAGAGUCCGGUAGGGGAGCGUGGAAUUCCCGGUGUAGCGGUGAAAUGCGCAGAUAUCGGGAGGAACACCAGCGGCGAAGGCGGCGCUCUGGGCCGGAACUGACGCUGAGGAGCGAAAGCGUGGGGAGCGAA